ACUGUGCUUGCACGGUGUGGAUGAGUGGCGAACGGGUGAGUAACACGUGAGUAACCUGCCCCUGACUUCGGGAUAAGCUUGGGAAACUGGGUCUAAUACCGGAUGUGGCUACUGGCCGCAUGGUCUGGUGGUGGAAAGGGUUUUACUGGUUGGGGAUGGACUCGCGGCCUAUCAGUUUGUUGGUGGGGUAGUGGCCUACCAAGACGACGACGGGUAGCCGGCCUGAGAGGGCGACCGGCCACACUGGGACUGAGACACGGCCCAGACUCCUACGGGAGGCAGCAGUGGGGAAUAUUGCACAAUGGGGGGAACCCUGAUGCAGCGACGCCGCGUGCGGGAUGACGGCCUUCGGGUUGUAAACCGCUUUCAGUAGGGAAGAAGCGAAAGUGACGGUACCUGCAGAAGAAGUACCGGCUAACUACGUGCCAGCAGCCGCGGUAAUACGUAGGGUACAAGCGUUGUCCGGAAUUAUUGGGCGUAAAGAGCUCGUAGGUGGUUGGUCGCGUCUGCUGUGGAAACGCAACGCUUAACGUUGCGCGUGCAGUGGGUACGGGCUGACUAGAGUGCAGUAGGGGAGUCUGGAAUUCCUGGUGUAGCGGUGAAAUGCGCAGAUAUCAGGAGGAACACCGGUGGCGAAGGCGGGACUCUGGGCUGUAACUGACGCUGAGGAGCGAAAGCAUGGGGAGCGAACAGGAUUAGAUACCCUGGUAGUCCAUGCCGUAAACGUUGGGAACUAGGUGUGGGGUCCAUUCCACGGAUUCCGUGCCGGAGCUAACGCAUUAAGUUCCCCGCCU
rnacentral:rRNA from 1 species